rnacentral:rRNA from 1 species
GAUGAACGCUGGCGGCGUGCCUAAUACAUGCAAGUCGAGCGAACAGACGAGGAGCUUGCUCCUCUGACGUUAGCGGCGGACGGGUGAGUAACACGUGGAUAACCUACCUAUAAGACUGGGAUAACUUCGGGAAACCGGAGCUAAUACCGGAUAAUAUAUUGAACCGCAUGGUUCAAUAGUGAAAGACGGUUUUGCUGUCACUUAUAGAUGGAUCCGCGCCGCAUUAGCGAGUUGGUAAGGUAACGGCUUUCCAAGGCAACGAUGCGUAGCCGACCUGAGAGGGUGGUCGGCCACCCUGGAACUGAGACGCGGUCCAUACUCCUACGGGAGGCAGCAGUAGGGAAUCUUCCGCAAUGGGCGAAAGCCUUACGGAGCAACGCCGCGUGAGUGAUGAAGGUCUUCGGAUCGUAAAACUCUGUUAUUAGGGAAGAACAAAUGUGUAAGUAACUAUGCACGUCUUGACGGUACCUAAUCAGAAAGCCACGGCUAACUACGUG